CAUAGGCAGUGGCUUGGUUAAGGGAACCCACCGGAGCCGUAGCGAAAGCGAGUCUUAGCAGGAGUUGGUAUGGUGACGGUGACAAUAACCUUUUCUCAUAAGAUGUUUGUGGAAUUGACGGUGACCCUUGAUGUGACUAAGGCAGCUUUACUGUUGGUGUGAAAAUGGAGGGGAAUUCUAUUGGGCUGAAGGCAGGUUAGUGUUCAGUGACAAUGAACGCUAACAUUACAUGAGAUGCGGUUGGAAGCGAGGCAGCAGUCUUUCUAUGUUUUUCCACUCUAACGAAGUUUCUCUGGGUGAGCUUAGAUGACCAACUCAAUUCUCUCCACCCUUUGCGGAGGAGUUUCUUUUUCCUGUCUCGAACCGGAGGCACCCACUAGUAGUAGGGGGGCGCCCAUAAUUGACCCGGGUAGGCGAGCUUCACAGCGUUGGGCUAUAGUUACCAGUUUCGAGUUACUUAGCGGGUAUUCCCCACCAGCACGGCUUGCUUAUGCGGAUCUCUCUCUCUACUACCAGGAAAGGGGUUAGAAUCGCCAUCGCUGGAGCACUACUGGCCUCGAUUAUCCCCCAACUGAUCUACCCAGUAAUGUGAUGAGUUCCGACCCCUUUCAUUACUGAGGGGGCCCAUUCGUACGGAAUGAGUAUGAAAGGGAAACAAAGCGCCCAAGAGAUUGGAGGACAGGUAGUGAACUAAUUUCUCUUCUUAGAGAGAAGGAUAUGCUUGAACAACUUAUUUCGUUCAAAGAGCUGGCAAUCACUUUCUUCCCACCCGGAAAUCGUAGUAAAAAACAUUCAUAUAUUCGGAAAGAGAGAGCCGAGAGCCGGGAAUCUUCUUCUUUAGCAAAUUCAACUUCUUUCCCCGGAGCAGCAAGAAUACCGGUUUAUUCAUCUGCACCGGAAGUCACGGAGCUCUCUUCUCUUUCAAUGUGAGCCGGAUUUCUAAGCACUAGUAUUUCCUUCUCACCAGCUAACUCAUAGAAGUCAACCCAUGCGCCUUUCGCGGGGUGAGCAAAAAGCCUUU
rnacentral:lncRNA from 1 species